GGGGGAUUAUAUUAACGGUUAAAUUGUCAUGCUUACACCAUGAAGAAACAGGUUCGAUUCCUGUAUCCCUUA
rnacentral:tRNA from 1 species